GCUUACGGCCAUAUCAAGUUGAAAACACCGGUUCUUGUCCGAUUACCGAAGUUAAGCAACAUCGACCCUAGUUAGUACUUAGAUGGGUGACCGCUUGGGAAACCUAGGUGCUGUAAGCA
rnacentral:rRNA from 1 species